rnacentral:rRNA from 1 species
GACGAACGCUGGCGGCGUGCUUAACACAUGCAAGUCGAACGGUGAAGCGCCUUCCUUUUUGGUGGGUGUGGAUGAGUGGCGGAGGGGUGAGUAACACGAGAGUAACCUGCCCCCUUCUUCUGGAUAACGGAAUGAAAGUGUGGCUAAUACGGGAUAUUCUGGUUCUGUCGGAUGAUGGGUCUGGGUAAGAUGUUGUUUCGGUGGGGGAUGGGCUCGCGGCCUAUCAGCUUGUUGGUGGGGUGAUGGCCUACCAAGGCGGUGGCGGGUAGCCGGCCUGGGAGGGUGGACAGCCCUAGGGGGAGGGCGACACGGCCGAGACUCCGACGGGAGGCAGCAGGGGAGAAGAGUGAACAGUGGGCGGAAGCCUGAUGCAGCGACGCGGCGGGAGGGAUGGAGGCCGGCGGGUUGUGAACCUCUUUCGGCAGUGAAGCACGCUUGCCUCGUGUGUGGGUGGGUUGACGGUAGCUGGAGAAGAAGCGCCGGCUAACUACGUG